AUCCCAGAUAAGCUAAAGCUUCGGUGCUUACCUGAUUCAUGGGAGGCAGAAAGCAAAGUUGGGAAGUUUCGCUGAUUAACGCCUACUUUUUUAUUCAUCGCUUUGAGGCGUUUACUUAGUAACUUCGCCAUACAUGC